UCCGAGUUGUCCCCGGCAGUCUCCUACGAGUCCCCACCAUUACGUGCCGGCAACAUAGGACGAGGGUUGCGCUCGUUGCGGGACUUAACCCAACAUCUCACGACACGAGCUGACGACAGCCAUGCAGCACCUGUGACGGCCCAGCCGAACUGAGGGACGCCCUCUCGAGCGCCCGCAACCGCCAUGUCAAGGGCUGGUAAGGUUCUGCGCGUUGCAUCGAAUUAAACCACAUGCUCCACCGCUUGUGCGGGCCCCCGUCAAUUCUUUUGAGUUUUAGCCUUGCGGCCGUACUCCCCAGGCGGAACACUUAUCGCGUUGGCUUCGGCACAGACAGAUUCGACUCCGCCCACACCUAGUGUUCAUCGUUUACGGCGUGGACUAC
rnacentral:misc_RNA from 1 species